GACGAACGCUGGCGGCGUGCCUAAUACAUGCAGGUCGAGCGAAGUUUUUCUGGUGCUUGCACUAGAAAAACUUAGCGGCGAACGGGUGAGUAACACGUAAAGAACCUGCCUCAUAGACUGGGACAACUAUUGGAAACGAUAGCUAAUACCGGAUAACAGUAUUUCUCGCAUGAGAGAUAUUUAAAAGUUGGUUAUGCUAACACUAUGAGAUGGCUUUGCGGUGCAUUAGCUAGUUGGUGGGGUAAAGGCCCACCAAGGCGACGAUGCAUAGCCGACCUGAGAGGGUGAUCGGCCACACUGGGACUGAGACACGGCCCAGACUCCUGCGGGAGGCAGCAGUAGGGAAUCUUCCGCAAUGGGCGAAAGCCUGACGGAGCAACGCCGCGUGAGUGAAGAAGGAUUUCGGUUCGUAAAGCUCUGUUGUUAGGGAAGAAUGGAUAUGUAGUAACUAUACAUGUAAGAGACGGUACCUAACCAGAAAGCCACGGCUAACUACGUG
rnacentral:rRNA from 1 species